rnacentral:rRNA from 1 species
CGCACGGGUGAGUAACGCGUAUGCGACCUGCCCGUUGCAGGGGGGAUAAUCGGGAGAAAUCCCGUCUAAUACCGCGUAACGCCGCGGGGCUGCAUGGCCCUGCGGCCAAAGGGAGCGAUUCCGGCAACGGAUGGGCAUGCGUGACAUUAGCUAGUUGGCGGGGCAACGGCCCACCAAGGCGACGAUGCCUAGGGGUUCUGAGAGGAAGGUCCCCCACACUGGUACUGAAACACGGACCAGACUCCUACGGAAGGCAGCAG